rnacentral:rRNA from 1 species
UGGGGAAUAUUGGACAAUGGGGGGAACCCUGAUCCAGCCAUGCCGAGUGUGUGAAGAAGGCCUUAUGGUUGUAAAGCACUUUAAGCGAGGAGGAGGGUACUGGUAUUAAUACUACCAGGUACUGGACGUUACUCGCAGAAUAAGCACCGGCUAACUCUGUGCCAGCAGCCGCGGUAAUACAGAGGGUGCGAGCGUUAAUCGGAUUUACUGGGCGUAAAGCGUGCGUAGGCGGCUAAUUGAGUCGGAUGUGAAAUCCCCGAGCUUAACUUGGGAAUUGCAUUCGAUACUGGUUAGCUAGAGUGUGGGAGAGGAUGGUAGAAUUCCAGGUGUAGCGGUGAAAUGCGUAGAGAUCUGGAGGAAUACCGAUGGCGAAGGCAGCCAUCUGGCCUAACACUGACGCUGAGGUACGAAAGCAUGGGGAGCAAACAGG